CAAUUGGCUUUUAAUUGAAGUCUGGAAUGAAUGGGAUUUUGGGGCUUUGCUGUCUUAAUAUUUAAAAUUUUUAAUUUAUUUAUUUAGUGAAAAUACUAAAAAUUAGAAAAAAGACGAGAAGACCCUGAGAGUUUUUAGAAAAUUUUUAAAUUAUUUCUUUUUGUUGGGGCGACAAAUAACCAGUUAUAAAACGUUAUUAUAAUAAACACGACGAAUGUUUUAAAAAUGAAAAAACUACCUUAGGGAUAACAGCAUAAUAACUUUAGUUGUUUG
rnacentral:rRNA from 1 species